UGGGGGAUAUUGCACAAUGGGCGAAAGCCUGAUGCAGCGACGCCGCGUGGGGGAUGAAGGCUUUCGGGUUGUAAACCUCUUUCGUUAUCGAACAAGGCCCGCUUAGGGUGGGUUGAGGGUAGGUGGAGAAGAAGCGCCGGCUAACUACGUGCCAGCAGCCGCGGUAAUACGUAGGGCGCGAGCGUUGUCCGGAAUUAUUGGGCGUAAAGGGCUUGUAGGCGGCUUGUUGCGCCUGCUGUGAAAACGCGGGGCUUAACUUCGCGCGUGCAGUGGGUACGGGCAGGCUUGAGUGUGGUAGGGGUGACUGGAAUUCCAGGUGUAGCGGUGGAAUGCGCAGUUAUCUGGAGGAACACCGAUGGCGAAGGCAGGUCACUGGGCCAUUACUGCCGCUGAGGAGCGAAAGCAUGGGUAGCGAACAGG
rnacentral:rRNA from 1 species